AACACAUGCAAGUCGAACGGAAAGGCCCUGCUUGCAGGGUACUCGAGUGGCGAACGGGUGAGUAACACGUGGGUGAUCUGCCCUGCACUUCGGGAUAAGCCUGGGAAACUGGGUCUAAUACCGGAUAGGAGCCAUUUUUAGUGUGAUGGUUGGAAAGUUUUUUCGGUGUAGGAUGAGCUCGCGGCCUAUCAGCUUGUUGGUGGGGUAAUGGCCUACCAAGGCGGCGACGGGUAGCCGGCCUGAGAGGGUGGACGGCCACAUUGGGACUGAGAUACGGCCCAGACUCCUACGGGAGGCAGCAGUGGGGAAUAUUGCACAAUGGGCGCAAGCCUGAUGCAGCGACGCCGCGUGGGGGAUGACGGCCUUCGGGUUGUAAACUCCUUUCGCUAGGGACGAAGCUUUU
rnacentral:rRNA from 1 species